GCUAUUUCUUUGGGCCGCUCCCGCAGCAUAUGGAGGUUCCCAGGCUAGGGGUCGAAUUGGAGCUGUAGCCACCGGCCUACGCCAGAGCCACAGCAACGCGGGAUCCGAGCCGCGUCUGCAACCUACACCACAGCUCACGGCAACGCCGGAUCAUUAACCCACUGAGCAAGGGCAGGGACUGAACCCGCAACCUCAUGGUUCCUAGUCGGAUUUGUUAACCACUGCGCCACGACGGGAACUCCUAAUAAUUAUUUAUGUUUACAUUUGAUAGAUGGUGUUUAAAUAUAUUUCUCUGUGUCUUAUGAUCUCUUGCAUUGGAAUACAGUGCCUCAAGAGAAAGGGUGCCAUCUUUUUCUUUUUUUAUGAUGCCUCACAGCUAGCAGUUCAAUGGGUGACAGAUAACUGGAAAAAUAGCCUGAUAUUUAUGAAUUAUUGUGAUUAUGAAUACAGCCUGAUAAGUGUAGAACUAUAUGUGACCAGAAACAUUUUGCACACUCUUAGGCUACUUUGAUUGGUUUUUGGUUGUUGUUUGUUUUGUUUUGAUUGGAUUUGUUACAUUGCUUUCCAGAGCCAAUAUUUCUUAAGAAAGUAUAUAUACAAUUAGUAUAUUCAUGGCAAAAUAAUUUGUAUAUAUACAAUUAUAUACAAAAUAAUUAGUAUAUAUACAAUUAGUAUAUUCAUGGCAAAAUAAUUUGAAGAAUCAUUAAAAUGCCCAUCCUUUAAAGUGUGUUAAACACAUCAGUUCAGGCAACAAUCCAGAUAUGCCAAACCCUUAUCCCUGAUGCGUAAGUACCACUAAGUCAGAGAUAUUUUCUAUCUUGUAUACCACUGAAUCCCAGGGCCUGAAACAGAGACUGGCAUUUAGUAAGUGUUCCUUAUAUUUGUCGAUUAAAUGAAAAUGUUGGAAUUUGGUUAUAUUAUUGUUGUCUUUCAUGUUAUUGUGUUAUAUUGUUGUCUUUUGUGUUAUUGCAGUUCCCAUACUGUUAUUCAUAAAUGAUCAAAAAAGCAAUUUAGGUUCAUCUUCUCAACAGAUAUUUAUUGCAUUUUUACCUGUUCCUUUGAACAGAGUGUUUCCUUUAGGAGCUCACAUUCUACAGCUGAAAAAUACCCUUUUGAACACAACAGAGUCAUUGGUAAAUCCCACAUAGUGGCCUGUCUUUUAAUCAAAACACCUUUGCUCAGAGCAAGGCUGUACCUCCAUUCUCUCAACCUCUGAUUUUUGCCAGCUUUGCAGAAAUAUAUUGAAGCAAUUAGCACUUUCCUAAAGAGCCCCUGAUUCUAUUCUGGGAUUCUAUGGCUGAUGACCAUGUUGUGCCUUUUCAAGUGGACUUGAUUACUCCAAUAAAACUGUUGGAAGGCUAUUUUUAUUUUUCUUGCAUGAUUUUUUUUUCUACCUCAUCCACAAUGGAUGAAAACAGAAUCUUCCUUUUGUCUGUGGGUUCACAUGAGGUUUUUCAGGGUGUCAUGGUUCCAUUAGAGACUUUCCCAAGUGCUUUUAUUAGGGUUUAUAUGACUCUGGUUGAUCUCUACAGGCUUUUAAAUUCAUAGACAUUUUGAUUUAUUCACAAACACCUUUUACUUAUUGGACUAUAAAUAGGUCUUUGAUGUGAGUCAUUCUUCUGGAGUAGUCCUGGUGGCCUCAGAACUUGGAACACAUUGAAUAGAACUCCAGACUUAAAGUAGUUGUCUGUUACUCCAAAUAGACUUCUAGAGGAUGCAGAGUUUAUGAGGGAAUUGUACUUUGCAAGGUAUUGUGAUAAUUGGGGAGUAUACAUUCCCUUUAGGGAAUUAAAUAUCCUCCUUCUCUUCCUCUCCUUCCACCUUCCUCUUCCUUCUCCUCCCUCCUACUGUGUCUCCUUAUUUUUCUUGAGCACCUAAAGAUCUACUUCCCUUUAUAAAGAUUCACAUUUACGUGGUAGAGAGAAAUGCUUUAUAGAUCCAUCAAAUAGGUAUGGGUAAUUAUUGUAAAUAGUCAUAUACAAUGAUUUAAAUACACAUUGCUCUGAAGGAUUGGUUCAUGAAAAUCCAGUUGACCCUUGAAAAAUGUAGGGUUUAAUCCACAUAUAACUUAAACUGGCCCUCUGUAUCCAUGGUUCCUCUACAUCCUCAGAUUCAACCAAUUACGGACUGUGUAACUGUAUUACUGAAACUGAAAAAUAUCAGUGUAUAAGUGGACUGGUGCAGUUCAAACCCACACUGUUUGAGAGUCAACUGUAAUUCUUUACAAUAUAUUUUCAGAUCUCAUGCCAUAAAUAAAUGAUACCUUUCUUUGUUAUUAAGAAAAUGACAAAAAGCAGUCUUUAAAAAAAAAAAAAAGUCAUUGUAAUCUUAUGAAAUAUUGCUUCCCAAUCAUAAAAGCAAAGAAGUUCAGAAGUAAAACCUAUCAUCUUGGCUGCUUUUGUUACAGGAAAUUGUCUUUCCUAUUUUCCCCUCCAUGGUCACCUCAUUGUUCCUGUUAUGUGAAAAGAGAUGGUGCCAUUGCCCUCUGAUUGCCUUAUACAUCAGUGCUUUCUCUCCUGAAACAGCCAUUUUCAGUCAAAUGCUUAAUGCUGUUUCAACAUGUCUUCACCCCAUCCCCCCCAACCUCCACCCCACUUUGCACUGCUGCAGAUGUUACCUUGUCAGAGCCCAGAAGUUCCCAAGAUGUGCACAGGAAGACAUGGCAGCAUGAGGCACAACCAUGACCUAAAGGAAAUAACAAAUUGCACGAGUGUGGCUGUGAGGAACAUACUGAUUUGGGACAUCUUUCUCUGAUGAAAUCUGUCAGGCUCUUAGUUUUCCAAAUGUGGGAACUUUUGUACUUGUUUUCCUCUUAGGCACAGGAUAAUUCCCAAGAGAGAUUCCAUUCAUUCCUCAUAGAGAAACAGAAGAAAAAGAAUGAAGCUGAACUAGUAGUUUGUUAGGAGAAUUGUGUUUACUCUGUGAUCUGAUUCGAGAAAUGGACUUGGAAUCUUAGCAAGUCCUAGCUAGAGCGUCUCCAUUUCGCAGCUGGGGCAUAUAGAGCUCAGCCAUGGAUUCUUCUGACUGGGGAAAAUUCAGUUACCUAGAACACGAAGCAAGCGAAUGAGAUGUACCUAGAGACUGACUGUUCCCAGUGUCAUUAAUAGGGGUCAUGUUUACAUUUUUACUGUUGUUAAUGAGUCCAAGCUAAUACUGCUCACUGCACCACAGGCCAGUAAAUUGAGGCAGGGAAUAGUUGUUGGGGCAAAGAAUAGUAACUUUACUUGGAAAACCAGCAGACUGAGAAGGUGGUGGACGAGCGUCUUAAAGAACCUCUUACGCAGGUUAGAAUUCAGGCUUUCUUUUAUACUAAAAAAGAAGGGGUGUGUUUGAUUGUUGUAAACUUGGUGUCAGAACCCUUUGUUCUUGUAGCUGUCCAUAUAGGUCUGGUCACAGUGUUCUUGUAAAUCUCCAACAACACAAAUAUUAUUCUCAGUUCUGCAACUUUUUAUCUCUAUAUGAAUGGAAAAGUAUUAUGCCUUUAAAAGUCAGAGACUUGAGAAUGGACUCUCCUGUAUAUUUCAGGCUAAGGGCAACAUUCUUAAUUUGUAGCAAAAGCAAUAGAAUACAAAAGUUACAGAAACAGAUCCAAUAUGGAAUCAGAUUUGUUUUUCCCUAUUGCAUUGUGACUAAUCUCUCAUCUAUUUUAAUACUUUCUUCAAAUCAGUGAUUACAAUAUAACUGAAUUCCUCAGAUAUUAGUAAGUACUUUUAUUUCUUAAUUUACCCACGUUGGUUCCUGGCCACUGUCGCCUUCUUCCUCCCUUAAGAGAUAGUUUCAGUAAUUUUUUUUUAUGCUAAUAAGUGAUGCUCUUGAGGAUGAAACUAGAAGCUGAACCAUGCUUAAUGAAAUCGUUGGUCUUAAUUUUGGCAUUAGUCCAAAUUGAUGAAACAUACAGGGACUUUUGCCUUCAUUAUUUUAUUCAUCUUUUAUAGAAAAUGUGGAGACUUCUGGAUGGGUUUGGCUUUCUGCCAAUUAGUGUCACCACUGUUUUCCUGUGAUGCAUAUUCGCGUGAGUCAACAGAAACCUUUUUGACUAAGCAGAGUUAGAUUUAGCAAGCCCGUAUGCAUCAGGGUAUUCAAUGUGGGGGAAAUUAUAACAACAGGGCAGUGAGACCUCAGACAGAAGAAGCCUUGACCAAUAGGUUCCCCAAACAGAGAAGUCACCAUAGCCCCACACCACCUCACAUCUCCCCAGAACAAGUUCUCUGUGAUGGACACAGAAGUGCUCAGUUUUGUCAUCCCUUGCUCAUAGCCUCAGAAGAAUCUGACACCUGGAUCUUAGAGAGGGUGCAGCCUCUUUGAGGAAAGAGGCCCCAGCCCAGUGCCUCAUAUCUCUCUUCAUCCAGCCUUGAAACCAAGCCUUCCUGUGAAGACCCCUGGUGGUUUUUAAUGUAUCAUUCCAGUGAGGAGGCAUAGGACUUAACAGCAGAUCAAAGGGAAAAGGCUAAAAAGUAUUUCAUAAUGUGAUAUAGUGGGGGUAGCAAAAUCUUGGGCUUCAUUAAUAGAAAGAAAUUACCCAAAAUGACGAAUGUGUAUCAGUCGGACUCGGCUUUGGUUGUGAGUGAUGAAAAACACAAAAUCACGGUACUUUAAACCGAUAAGUGUUUAUUUCUCUUUCAUAAAAGUCCCAAGGUACGGUCCAGGAAAGAGGGACACUUUAGAGGAACUAUAUACCCCCUUGUUCUCAGCCCUGGCAUGUGGCUUCCAUGUGGGGAACAAGAGGGCUCCUCGGGGCUCAGUCAGGAAGAAGGAGGAGGUGGCAGCAGCAGCAGGGGCUACCCCCUCUUUAAGGACUCUUCUCCGAAGUCGCAUGCAAUACUUCCAUGUAAGUCUUAGUCUCGUGGUCACCCCUCACCCACCGCAGGAGUGGCAGGAACAUGUCGCUUUUAUUUGAGGUAGCUGUGUAGCCAACUAAAAAUCAAAGAUGGUAAAACUGAUGAACACGCAAAGGAUGGACAGUAUUCUCCCUUCUAGAACUUUGUCAGCGUUCUGCCCACUUCCCAGAAAACUAGUGGUCUCUCCAGGGGGACGUGAAAGACACCCCCCCCAACCCUUGUCUUGUUCACAGCACACCUAGGGUGUGCUUUUCACUUCCAGGAGCCUUUCACACUAUUAUAUAUAUAUAUUUGUGAACCAAUAAAUUCAGAGGGAAAUUCCCAGGAUGGUGUGAGGACUCCAUGUACCACAGUGUUGGUUAAACAAAUCGAUUGGACCAUGUCUGACGAAGAACAGGUGAAAGAGCUGGUGCUAUUUCACCAGGAAUGUACUCCUUUCUCAGAACAAACACGGGGAAGAUGUGAUGCCUGACCUAGACCAUUUGAAGAGCUGUUCGGUGUGUUCCCGGUGGAUAGGAUUAGAUUGUGCCCCAGUCAGUGAGUCUGAUUAGCGGCACCAAAUAAAGGAGUAUUUUCUGGUCCUCAGAGGCAUCUGCAGGUUGACUGAGCUGUGCCCGGAGGGUGGGAGGAGGGCGUGGGAGGGUCCAAGUGAAUUUGCUAUUGUCAAAGGGAUUGAAGGUGUGACUAUUGGGUCCACGGAUAGCCUUGUAACAUGUCAUCCUGGCUCUAGUCUUCCAGUCCCCCUAGUCUGUGCUCCGCAUUGCCACUGGUGAUCUUUUUGUUUGGUUGGUUUAGGUUUUGUUUGUCUUUUUAGGGCCACACUGAUGGCAUAUGGAAGUUCCUAGACUAGCAGUGGAAUAGGAGCUGCAGCUACCAGCCUACACUACAGCCACAGCUAUGCCAGAUCCCAGCCUUGUCUGCAACCUACACCACAGCUCACAGCAAUGCCAGAGCCUUAACCCACUGAGUGAGGCCAGGGAUCAAACCUGCAUCCUCAUAGAUACUAGUCGAGUUCUUAACCCACUGAGCCACAACAGGAACACCACCACUGGUGUCUUCUAUAUUCAAAAUAGAUCAGGUAACUUCCAAGAUCCAUCCCUCUCUGUGGCCCCGCCAUCACUUUCUGCUGCCCAGCUCCCCCUCCCCUGACCUGGUCGUGGCUUACUCCCACCGAGUCUCCAGACAGAAUUUCCACUCCCCCCUCAUGUGUCAGAGUUUUCUCCCUUCUGGAACUUUGCCCAGGUUGUUCCCUCUUCCACAACCCUCUCCUUCACACGCACGCUCACACUUCACCUGGCUAACUCCUACACAUCCUGCAUCAUCACUUCCUCUCUGAAGUCUCCACUCCCACCUCCUCGGAAGGGGGUUUCCAAUAACCUCUGCGGCCUCUGUUAGCACAGCAUGUACUGCAGUUACUGCAAUUGUUUGUUUCAGGAUCUGUCUUGGCAGCUAAACUGUAAGCGCCCUGUAAGUAGAGGCGGGCAUCCUGGAUACAACAUGCAACCCGCUCAUCGUAGGUGACUGAAAAUAACAUGGAACCUUAGAGAAGAUCCUCAAGCAAAGGCUGAGGGGAAAUACAGGUUAAGGUUGAGGAAGAAGCAGUCGAGGUAGGAGUCGGGAGGAAGGGACCACAAACAGUGUCUUUUGCUCCAGCCCCCCGACAUUCUCUGUGGGGUUGUGGGGUUGAGAGGCGUGUGAGAGAAUUACUUCUCUUGGGUUCCUUGGGCCACCUCCCGGCCCCCAAGGAGGCAGAGCAACUGUUACCGUGGAAUUUGAAAUACUAGCUAUGUUAAUGGAGGUCAGAAUUACUGAGACUGGAUUUACAGCUCCCCAAAUUGACCCGGAUUUAUUUUCUAUUAUUCAAAAUUAGUUAUGUUGAAGGAGGAGCAAGGGGCUUCUUGGUGUAUAGAUGAUCACUAAUGUGUCUCUGGACUUAAAUCUUGUUUGGCUUUUAUCUGUUCUGGAGGAUGUGACUUGGGGUCCUGACCACAGCAGCAGCAGAAUUUGCAUGUGGGCAGCUCUGGCCUCCCAGACCUUAGUGACCUGGGCUGGCCACCCAUCUCUGCCUUGUCCUGGAGUGAUUUUUUUACAGGCUCUGAAUAAACGCCUGCCCUUAAAUACCUCCUGCCAUUUGCUUCUUAGCGCUUAACAUUCCACAUUUAGAGAAGAGGCCUCACAUUCAAGGGCCACAAGAAUGACAUGUUGAUUUAAAUUCACAUGGAGAUGUAUCGGCUCCUUCUGUGAUGUACUGGACCAUUGGGCUCCAGGGAAUAUGGAUGGGGAGUGAAAAAAAAUGGGGCGUUUGAGACCAGAGGGGCCAGGAAUUCUAAGUAGGUGGAGCAGGUUAAAAGACAGACUACAUUUAACUUAGAAUUUUGUUUAGCCUUAUUUAUCUCAAGCAUAACAGACAGAGGUAAUUUUUCGUUUGAGGCUGAUGGGAAAGGAGUAAUUCAGGCCCAAGAGUGGACCUCCUGCUUGGAGUUUUAUCCACUAAAACUACAGUGGGAUUUUCCACCUGGCAAUGCCCUUUACUGAGUGGGACAUGCAGCCCUACCUCUGCGGGACCACUGGUGGCUCAGUGAUCAUCCCUGCCUGCUCUUCAUCUGCCCAGGUCUCCUUUUCUUGGUACACACAGACCAUCAGAAAGUUGAUGAAUAGAGAAGCAAGUACCAUUUCCCCAAGAGGAGUCUUAUGCUCAUGCAGCCCAGAAUAGUAGUCACCUUGAAAAAGAUUUUUUAAGUCUAGUCCUGCGCCGAAGCUGACUGGAGAUAACUUUUCCUAGAAUGGAAAUCACCCAACCGGCAUGAACUAUUUAUUUUCUUGAUUGCUGCAAGAAAGCACAUGAACAACAAUCUUAUUGUCUCCUCCAUUUUUGUUUUAAAAGGCAUGCAGCUGCUAAGAAUGUUGUGUGUACAAAGCAUUAAUUAACAACAGCCCCUUUUUAUUUAUAUUUACCCUCUAAAAAUUUAAUUGUUAAUUGCUUUUGUGCAGUGCUCAGUUUGUUCCUCUUUCUGUAGAUUUGCGUGCAGUGAAAUUAAACAUUUUAAAAUGUGUAGAUGAUCGGAGAGGUUUAAUUCUCUUGAUAUAUACAGUGACAGUGUUUCAAUUCUAUAAACAAAACCCACUGGUACAAUUAAUCAUUAACCUACUUGCGGUAGGGAUUAAGGGAGAGAACGAAUGUUAACUCUUUUGUGACUUAAGGUAAAUCAGCAGGAAAGAUGAUGGAGUGUGUAAUUUUUGUUGUCUA
rnacentral:lncRNA from 1 species